rnacentral:rRNA from 1 species
UCCCUACGGGACGCAGCAGUGAGGAAUAUUGGUCAAUGGGCUUACGCCUGAACCAGCCAAGUCGCGUGAGGGAAGACUGCCCUAUGGGUUGUAAACCUCUUUUGUCAGGGAGCAACGCCGGCUACGUGUAGCCGGACUGAGAGUACCCGGAGAAAAAGCAUCGGCUAACUCCGUGCCAGCAGCCGCGGUAAUACGGAGGAUGCGAGCGUUAUCCGGAUUUAUUGGGUUUAAAGGGUGCGUAGGCGGGCUGUUAAGUCAGCGGUCAAAUGUCGGGGCUCAACCCCGGCCUGCCGUUGAAACUGGCG